GUUGGCUUAGAAGCAGCCAUCAUUUAAAGAGUGCGUAAUAGCUCACUAGUCGAGUGACACUGCGCCGAAAAUGUACCGGGGCUAAACAUAUUACCGAAGCUGUGGAUUGUCCUUUGGACAAUGGUAGGAGAGCGUUCUAAGGGCGUUGAAGCAUGAUCGUAAGGACAUGUGGAGCGCUUAGAAGUGAGAAUGCCGGUGUGAGUAGCGAAAGACGGGUGAGAAUCCCGUCCACCGAUUGACUAAGGUUUCCAGAGGAAGGCUCGUCCGCUCUGGGUUAGUCGGGUCCUAAGCUGAGGCCGACAGGCGUAGGCGAUGGAUAACAGGUUGAUAUUCCUGUACCACCUAUAAUCGUUUUAAUCGAUGGGGGGACGCAGUAGGAUAGGCGAAGCGUGCGAUUGGAUUGCACGUCUAAGCAGUAAGGCUGAGUAUUAGGCAAAUCCGGUACUCGUUAAGGCUGAGC
rnacentral:rRNA from 1 species